CAAGGUAACACUAAUUUUUCAUACAGCUCACAGUGAAAAUGACAUAAAUAUGACAGUGGGCGAAAGCAUAAAGUGCAGCAUAAUGUUAAAUCACGUUUAAAGUUUAAGCAUUAAAUUAACACGGGCCGACCGUCACACAGAGAACACUCGAUUAUGCUGGAUAAAAAUGCACACUUCACAAGAUCUCACAGCUGGAUUCGACUAAGUUUGCAAGGUUUGUGAAAUUAAAUAUUCAUUCAAAGAUUUAUUUACAUGAAAUAAAUGUGCAUUUGCUUAAUGCUGAUGGCAAACGAGAAAUUAUUAUAAUGUUUGCCUUUCUAUUACUAAUAAUAUAAAAGCAAUCGCUAUAAUUCUUUUUGUGUACAUUAAUUCCUUUGUUUAUCCAUUCUAUCUGAUUAUUAGACAGACUUCUAUUCAUAUUAGACAGAACUGUUUACAAUGACAGUAAACAAGGCAGAGAAUGUGAGCACUGUGUGUGCUUCUUAGACAGUGCUCAGGCGCUGCUUUCCUCAGCGCUGUUAAAAUAAAAGUCCCACCUCAAACACAUCGGCAUAGCAGUAAAUCUUAUUAGCUGAUGCUAAUAUUUGAAAAAUGUCAAAUAUUGGCUGUUUAUCGGCCUUGGUAAUAUAUUGGUCAACCACUAACAAAAAUGUAUUUUACAAGUUAAUAAUGAUAACUUGCAUGAUAUAUUUUGUCACUUGUGCUGUUUCCAUCUCUCUCUAUUUUUAUACAGUCUAUGAGAUUGAUGCAUUCCAGUAUAUGCAGCCCUUUGUGCAGGGGAUGCAACAGCAAGUACAACAUGCCAUCGCAACUGAAGACCAGCAGUACAAACUGGAAGUACACAAAAUAAUGGCACGAUUUGUGCCGAAUUUGAGACAUCCAGAAUUACCAUAG
rnacentral:lncRNA from 1 species